CAUGCAAGUCGUACGAGAGUCUUUGACUCAAGUGGCGGACGGGUGAGUAACACGUAAGAAUUUGCCUUUAGGAGGGGGACAACAACUGGAAACGGUUGCUAAUACCCCAUAUGCUUUCGAGUGAAAUGGAUUUUUCCGCCUAGAGAGAAGCUUGCGGCUGAUUAGCUUGUUGGUGAGGUAAUGGCUCACCAAGGCGACGAUCAGUAUCUGGUUUGAGAGGACGAUCAGACACACUGGAACUGAGACACGGUCCAGACUCCUACGGGAGGCAGCAGUGGGGAAUUUUCCGCAAUGGGCGAAAGCCUGACGGAGCAAUCUCGCGUGAGGGAUGACUGCCUAUGGGUUGUAAACCUCUUUUUUCAGGGAGGAAUAAAUGACGUGUACCUGAAGAAUAAGCAUCGGCUAACUCCGCGCCAGCAGCCGCGGUAAUACGGAGGAUGCAAGUGUUAUCCGGAAUCACUGGGCGUAAAGCGUCUGUAGGUGGUUUAAUAAGUCAACUGUUAAAUCUUGAGGCUCAACUUCAAAAUCGCAGUCGAAACUAUUAGACUAGAGUAUAGUAGGGGUAAAGGGAAUUUCCACUCUGCGUAAAUGCGUAGAGAUUGGAAAGAACACCGAUGGCGAAGGCACUUUACUGGGCUAUUACUACA
rnacentral:rRNA from 1 species